AUCACUUCAUGGCCUUUUAGCUAAGAUCAAGUGUAGUAUCUGUUCUUAUCAGUUUAAUAUCUUAUAUGCCCUCUAUCCAAGGACAGUAUAUUAAAUGGAUUUUUGGAGCUUGGAGUAGGAAUAGGCUUGCUCCAUCCACUCCAAGCAUCGGCCUGGUAUUGCAGUACUUCCAGGAAUGGUGCACCCCCU
ensembl:snRNA U2 U2 spliceosomal RNA